CGCGAAUCCAACCUGAUCGCCGUUGGUUCGGGAACACUCGGGUUGUGAAUCAGAAAGAGCUUGAGUUCUUCAGAGAAGAGCUGCAGAGCCGCAUGUCGAGUAAUUACAAUGUUAUUCUGAAGGAGAAGAAAUUGCCACUGUCACUCCUCAACGACCACCAAAAGCAAUCAAGGGUUCACCUUCUUGAUAGACAGCCUUUUGAGGAUGCAUUUGGACCUAAGACUAAAAGAAAGCGCCCCAACCUCUUGGCGGCUGAUUAUGAGUCCUUAGUUAAGAAAGCUGAUGGUUCUCAAGGUAAAACUGCUUCUCUAUAAUUUAGUACUCCCCGUUUGAAAAUUAUUGCUGUUGUGUAUGAACAUUAGUAUGAUUAUUGUCUAUCCCCUAUGUUAGUUAUGGUCUUUGGUAUAUAUAACCCUUCCAUAGGUGGUUAUUGUGAACGUGGGUAGUUAUAGAAACCCAUCAUGUAAUCGUGGUAGGGCCCACUUUGGGUUAUAGUAUUUUGGCCGACUUCCCUUCCGGGUAAAACCCCAUCCGGGUUCUAUCAACUCUUUUCCUUGACUAUUGAUACCCGGAUGUAUAAACCCGGAACAUUAAGCCCCCAAGCUCGGAGUGCAAUGUCUAUUUUACUCCGAGUUUAUAAGUUAUUUUACCCCUUAUAUCUUCUCUUUCUUAUACGUCAGCAUCCUCAUUAAAUGCUUCCUACUUAAUCCUAAUCUUGAUUGCCAUUUGUCACUUUCUUGUUGCCUUGAUUCUCCAAACGGUUGCCCAUCUGAAACGUCAUAUCCUGACAGCCAUUAUUGUCCUUCGAGAUUCGAAAAGCCCGUUACUUUUUCGCUUCUCUUUAUUACUACCUACUUUGAUUUUCCCAUUCACCCCUUUCCUUUUUCUCCUUAAA